CUGGUCAUCCAUAAAGGUGGGCUGGGAGAAGUCAGUGGGGACCAGAGGCGGCAUGGGGAUUUUUUUCUAAUAUUCCUGAAGCAAUCGAGAAAAAUUCUGUGCUACAAAGAAGCCAGAAACACAAUACAUUUCACCUACAGCCUUUGGAAAUAGCAGAAGUUCAUCUCCCACCCCCACGACCCACAAGAUUGCUCCAUCAGCCUGAAUCAAAAAAAUCUCAAGGGGAGCACGUGAAAGGAAAUACAAGCUGGUCAAAUCCAAAGUGUAUGUAACAGCAUCAGGAGAAGAGGAAAAGCCUUGGAGUUACAGUGCAUGACCCAAGCACUCACUUUCUAGAAUUCAGGCGUCUGUCCUCUCAGAGGCUUUGUCUCCAUUAGCCUUUUCCCCCUAGGACUUCCCACCACUGCUUCUACAGCUCAACCUGUGGAUGCACUGGUGAGGAGCUGUAUUGUCAUUAAGAUAUUUGCAGCCUCCAGUGUUCGUACAGUAGAAUCUCAGAGUUAUGAACAGCUCGGGAAGGGUGGAUGUUCGUAACUCGGUAAUGUUUGUAACUGAACAAAAUGUGAUGACUGUUCUUUCAAAAGUUUAGAACUGAACAUUGACUUAACACAGUUCUGGGAGUUAACUUUGCAGAACAUAAGUACUGCUUUCCCUUUAUUAUUAUUAUUUUUAAAGAA